AUGCUUACCCGGCAGGGGACAUACCAUGAUCACGAAGACGGUUUUCCCAGGGCGAGGCUUAUCCAUUGCACUCCGGA
rnacentral:snRNA from 1 species